UUUGGCCGCCAAACCAUUGCAAAUACCCGAAAGAUGGUGAACUAUGCCUGAGGAGGUUGAAGCCAGAGGAAACUCUGGUGGAGGACCGUAGCGAUUCUGACGUGCAAAUCGAUCGUCAAAUUUGGGUAUAGGGGCGAAAGACUAAUCGAACCGUCUAGUAGCUGGUUCCCUUCGAAGUUUCCCUCAGGAUAGCUGGCGCUCUGUCGCAGUUUUAUCUGGUAAAGCGAAUGAUUAGAGGUCCUUGGGGGCCGAAACGCCCUCAACCUAUUCUCAAACUUUAAAUUGGUAAGAAGCCCGACUCGCUCGUUUGGAGCCGGGCAUGGAAUGCGAGUGCCAAGUGGGCCACUCUUGGUAAGCAGGACUGGCGAUGCGGGAUGAACCGAACGCCGGGUUAAGGCGCCCGACGCGACGCUCAUCAGAGCCCCAAAAGGGUGUUUGGUUGAUAUAGACAGCAGGACGGUGGCCAUGGAAGUCGGAAACCGCUAAUGGAGUGUGUAACAACUCACCUGCCG
rnacentral:ncRNA from 1 species